GACGAACGCUGGCGGCGUGCUUAACACAUGCAAGUCGAACGAUGAAGCCGGAGCUUGCUCUGGUGAAUUAGUGGCGAACGGGUGUGUAACACGUGAGUAACCUGCCCUUGACUCUGGGAUAACUGCUAGAAAUGGUAGCUAAUACCGGAUACGACCCUCGGAGGCAUCUUCAGGGGGUGGAAAGAAUUUCGGUCAAGGAUGGACUCGCGGCCUAUCAGCUAGUUGGUGAGGUAAUGGCUAACCAAGGCGACGACGGGUAGCCGGCCUGAGAGGGUGACCGGCCACACUGGGACUGAGAUACGGCCCAGACUCCUACGGGAGGCAGCAGUGGGGAAUAUUGCACAAUGGGCGCAAGCCUGAUGCAGCGACGCCGCGUGAGGGAUGACGGCCUUCGGGUUGUAAACCUCUUUCAGCACCGACGAAGCGCAAGUGACGGUAGGUGCAGAAGAAGGACCGGCCAACUACGUGCCAGCCGCCGCCGUAA
rnacentral:rRNA from 1 species